AAUUCACCCCAAUUUUCCCAUUUCCCUCCAAAUUUCCCCGAUUUUCCCCAAAUUUCCCCAAAUUCCCCAAAAUUCCCCCAAUUUCCCCCCAAAAUUCUCCCAAUUUUCCCAAAUUUCACCAGAAAUUUCCCCCAAUUUUUCCCCAAAUUCUCACAAAAUCCCCAAAAUUCCCCCACUUUUCCCAUUUUCCGCCCAAAUCUUCCCCAAAAUCCUUCAAAUUUCCCUAAAUUUUCCACAAAUUUCCUAAAAAUUCCACUCAAAUUUCCCCAAUUUUCCAAUUUUCAUCCCAAAUUCCCCCAGUUUUUCCCAUUUUUCACAUUUUUUUCCCAUUUUGUCCCAUUUUCCCCAGUUUCCCCCCAUUUUUUCCCAUUUUCCCCAUUCUUUUCCCAUUUUUUUUCCCAAUUUUCCCAAUUUUUCCCAAAUUUUCCCAAUUUUUCCCUACUUUUCCCAUUUUCCCGUUUUCCCCCCCAUUUUUCCCCAACUUCUCCCAUUUUUUUCCUGUUUUCCCCCCAAUUCUUCCCAUUUUCUGACGUUCUUUUCCCAUUUUUCCCAAUUUUCCCAAUUUUUCCAAUUUUUCCCAUUUUUCCCCCAAUUUUUCCCAUUUUUCCCUUUUUUUUGCCCCAAUUUUUCCCACUUCCCCCCCGUUUUUUUCCCGUUUUUUCCCCCAAUUUUCCCAUUUCCCCAGUUUUUCCCCCAAUUUUUCCCAUUUCCCCCCAAUUUCCCCGUUUUUCCCGUUUUUUCCCCCAUUUCCAGCUCGCUGCUCCGCUGGGACAUCGAGGAGCUGCCCCAGGGGAGCUUCCAGCACCUCCCGGCGCUGACGCUGCUCCUGGUGGCCUCGGGGCGCCUGGGGAGCGUCGGGGACGGAGCCUUCGAGGGGCUGGGGGCGCUGGAGUACCUGUGAGUCACACUGGGGAUACUGGGUAUACUGGUUUGCACUGGGAACGACUGGGAACGACUGGGAACGACUGGUUUGGACUAGUUUGGACUGGUUUGGACUGGUUUAUACUGGGAGGGACUGGUUUGGACUGGUUUAUACUGGUUUAUACUGGGAGGGACUGGUUUGGACUGGUUUAUACUGGGAGGGACUGGUUUGGACUGGUUUAUACUGGUUUGUACUGGUUUGGACUGGUUUGGACCGGUUAUACUGGUUUGUACUGGUUUAUACUGGUUUGGACGGGGAAUGGGGCUGGGGGCACUCGAGUACCUUUGAGUGAUACUGGGGAUACUGGUUUGGACUGGUUUGGACUGGUUUGGAAUGGUUUAGACUGGUUUGGACUGGUUUGGACUGGUUUGGACUGGUUUGGACUGGUUUGGACUGGUUUGGACUGGGAGGGACCGGGACAAACUGGGAGGGACUGGUUAUAUUGGUUUGUACUGGUUUAUACUGGUCUGUACUGGUUUGUACCAGUCCAUACUGCUCCAUACUGGUCCAUACUGGUCCGUACUGGUCUGUACUGGUCAGUACUGGUCUGUACUGGUCAGUACUGGUCCGUACUGGUCUGUAACUCGUUUAUACUGGUCCAUACUGGUCCAUACUGGUCCAUACUGGUCCGUACUGGUCCAUACUGGUCCGUACUGGUCCGUACUGGUCUGUACUGGUCUGUACUGGUCAGUACUGGUCCGUACUGGUCUGUAACUCGUUUAUACUGGUCCAUACUGGUCCAUACUGGUCCAUACUGGUCCGUACUGCUCCAUACUGGUCCAUACUGGUCCGUACUGGUCCGUACUGGUCCAUACUGGUCCGUACUGGUCUGUACUGGUCAGUACUGGUCCGUACUGGUCCGUACUGGUCCAUACUGGUCCGUACUGGUCCGUACUGGUCUGUACUGGUCAGUACUGGUCCGUACUGGUCCGUACUGGGCAGUACUGGUCUGUAACUGGUCCGUACUGGUCCAUACUGGUCCAUACUGGUCCGUACUGGUCCGUACUGGUCCAUACUGGUCCGUACUGGUCCGUACUGGUCUGUACUGGUCCAUACUGGUCCGUACUGGUCCAUACUGGUCCGUACUGGUCUGUACUGGUCCAUACUGGUCCGUACUGGUCCGUACUGGUCUGUACUGGUCCAUACUGGUCCAUACUGGUCCAUACUGGUCCAUACUGGUCCAUACUGGUCCGUACUGGGCAGGUUCCUGGAGGACUCCCAGCUCCGCUCCCUCCCCCCUGCAGCUCUCCGGGGGCUCCGGGGGCUCCUGUUCCUGUGAGUGUCCCCAAGUGUCCCCAAAUGUCCCCAAAUGUCCCCAAUGUCCCCAAUUCCCCAAAUGUCCCCAAUGUCCCCAAUGUCCCCAAGUGUCCCCAAGUGUCCCCCAAUGUCCCCAAUGUCCCCAAGUGUCCCCAAUGUCCCCAAAGUCCCCAAUGUCCCCAAUGUCCCCGAUGUCCCCAAUGUCCCCAAUGUCCCCGAUGUCCCCAGUGUCCUCAAUCCCCCCAAUGUCCCCAAUGUCCCCGAUGUCCCCAAUGUCCCCAAAUGUCCCCAAUGUCCCCAGUGUCCUCAAUCCCCCCAAUGUCCCCAAUGUCCCCGAUGUCCCCAAUGUCCCCGAUGUCCCCAAUGUCCCCAAAUGUCCCCGAUGUCCCCAAUGUCCCUGCUGUCCCCGCAGGAGUCUGGCCGACAACCUCCUGCAGUCGCUGCCCCGCGGCCUCUUCCAGGAGCUGCCCAACCUCGGCCACCUGUGGGUGACACUGGGGGGGUUGGGGACAUUGGGGACACUGGGGGACAUUGGGGGGGUUGGGGACAUUUGGGGGGGUUGGGGACAUUUGGGACAUUGGGGACAUUGGGGGGGUUGGG
rnacentral:lncRNA from 1 species